rfam:Picea glauca, whole genome shotgun sequence.
GGGUGCGAUCAUACCAACAUUAAUGCACCGGAUCCCAUCAGAACUCCGCAGUUAAGCAUGCUUGGGCUUUGAAGCCCUCCCC